rnacentral:tRNA from 1 species
GGCAGUGUUGUUUACUGAGUAGAGCACUGGACUAGGAUUCAGGAGACCUGGUUUCUAUUCCCAGCUCAGCCA